rnacentral:rRNA from 1 species
UACGUAGGGGGCAAGCGUUGUCCGGAAUCAUUGGGCGUAAAGCGCGUGUAGGCGGUCCGGUAAGUCGGCUGUGAAAGUCCAGGGCUCAACCCUGGGAUGCCGGUCGAUACUGCCGGACUAGAGUUCGGAAGAGGCGAGUGGAAUUCCCGGUGUAGCGGUGAAAUGCGCAGAUAUCGGGAGGGACACCAAUGGCGAAGGCAGCUCGCUGGGACGUUACUGACGCUGAGACGCGAAAGCGUGGGGAGCAAACAGG